ACGCUGGCGGCAGGCCUAACACAUGCAAGUCGAACGGUAACAGGAAGCAGCUUGCUGCUUCGCUGACGAGUGGCGGACGGGUGAGUAAUGUCUGGGAAACUGCCUGAUGGAGGGGGAUAACUACUGGAAACGGUAGCUAAUACCGCAUAACGUCGCAAGACCAAAGAGGGGGACCUUCGGGCCUCUUGCCAUCGGAUGUGCCCAGAUGGGAUUAGCUUGUUGGUGGGGUAACGGCUCACCUAGGCGACGAUCCCUAGCUGGUCUGAGAGGAUGACCAGCCACACUGGAACUGAGACACGGUCCAGACUCCUACGGGAGGCAGCAGUGGGGAAUAUUGCACAAUGGGCGCAAGCCUGAUGCAGCCAUGCCGCGUGUAUGAAGAAGGCCUUCGGGUUGUAAAGUACUUUCAGCGGGGAGGAAGGGAGUAAAGUUAAUACCUUUGCUCAUUGACGUUACCCGCAGAAGAAGCACCGGCUAACUCCGUGCCAGCAGCCGCGGUAAU
rnacentral:rRNA from 1 species